UACAGAGGGUGCGAGCGUUAAUCGGAAUUACUGGGCGUAAAGGGCGCGUAGGCGGUGAGGAGGGUGUGAUGUGAAAGCCCUGGGCUUAACCUGGGAAGUGCAUCGCAACUACCUGACUGGAGUAUAAGAGAGGGUGGCGGAAUUUCCGGUGUAGCGGUGAAAUGCGUAGAGAGUCGGAAGGAACGUCAAUGGCGAAGGCAGCCACCUGGCUUAAUACU
rnacentral:rRNA from 1 species